rnacentral:rRNA from 1 species
AUUGAACGCUGGCGGCAGGCUUAACACAUGCAAGUCGAGCGGGGUGAUGGUGCUUGCACUAUCACUUAGCGGCGGACGGGUGAGUAAUGCUUAGGAAUCUGCCUAUUAGUGGGGGACAACAUCUCGAAAGGGAUGCUAAUACCGCAUACGUCCUACGGGAGAAAGCAGGGGAUCACUUGUGACCUUGUGCUAAUAGAUGAGCCUAAGUCGGAUUAGCUAGUUGGUGGGGUAAAGGCCUACCAAGGCGACGAUCUGUAGCGGGUCUGAGAGGAUGAUCCGCCACACUGGGACUGAGACACGGCCCAGACUCCUACGGAAGGCAGCAGUGGGGAAUAUUGGACAAUGGGGGGAACCCUGAUCCAGCCAUGCCGCGUGUGUGAAGAAGGCCUUAUGGUUGUAAAGCACUUUAAGCGAGGAGGAGGCUUACCUAGUUUAUACCUGGGUUAAGUGGACGUUACUCGCAGAAUAAGCACCGGCUAACUCUGUGCCAGCAGCCGCAGUAAUAC